rnacentral:rRNA from 1 species
GUCCACGCCGUAAACGAUGGGAACUAGGUGUGGGAGGUGUCGACUCCUCCCGUGCCGGCGCUAACGCAUUAAGUUCCCCGCCUGGGUAGUACGGCCGCAAGGCUAAAACUCAAAGGAAUUGACGGGGGCCCGCACAAGCAGCGGAGCAUGUGGUUUAAUUCGAUGCAACGCGAAGAACCUUACCUGGGCUUGACAUGUUUGUGACAGCCGUGGAAACACGGUCUUCCUUCGGGACACUUACACAGGUGGUGCAUGGCUGUCGU